GUCCAGCUGACUAGUCCCGAAUAGGACGAAAUGCGCGUGAAACUGGAU
rfam:Schistosoma mansoni strain Puerto Rico chromosome 6, complete genome